UACGUAGGGGGCAAGCGUUGUCCGGAAUCAUUGGGCGUAAAGCGCGUGUAGGCGGCCAGAAAAGUCCGCUGUGAAAACUCGAGGCUCAACUUCGAGCUGUCGGUGGAAACUUUCUGGCUAGAGUCCGGAAGAGGAGAAUGGAAUUCCUGGUGUAGCGGUGAAAUGCGCAGAUAUCAGGAGGAACACCAGCGGCGAAGGCGGCGCUCUGGGCCGGUACUGACGCUGAGGAGCGAAAGCGUGGGUAGCAAACAGG
rnacentral:rRNA from 1 species